ACUAAGCUCUUCGUCAGCUGGAAAACUCUUUCCAAUUUGCCUCUCGCAGUUUUUAUUCGUGAAUUCCCACAUUUUUAUCAGCAAAUAUUUACAUAUAAUUUUAUUUGAAUUCCUGUCAUCAUUGUUUACACAAUCUUGAAAAAAUAAAAGUCAAAAUGUCAAUCAAUGAUGAAAUAGAUCAUUUUUUGUUCAAAUCAAAAAUGACAACUAUGGCUCCGUUAGAAAAACUAUCUGCUCACCUAAGCACAAAUAGUAUUGCAGCUAUCAUAGUUGGUGUUAUUGUUGCACUUAUCAUUAUCGGUGUUACCACAGCCUACAUAUGUAACAAAUAUGCUGAGAAGGGUCAUGGUGUACAUUUUACUACACCUUCUUGCGUCUUUCAAACAACACCCAACAAUAUGACAUGGGUAGUAGAAACUGAGGUGUGAAUAAGUUUGAAUAUCCACUUUUUGACUUGUUUAAUUAAUAAAUUUAAUCAGUCAAACAAAUAAUACAAAACAUUUCAACCACAAA